ensembl:lncRNA
CACAUUGAGAUUUACUUUUUUUCGUACUCUUCAUUCCUUCUGAUAUCUCUGAGCUUCCAAUUAGGAUUUUCAUUCUGCCUGAAGAACAUCUUAUAGUUUUCUUCUUUAUUAUAGUCUGCUGGUAGAGAAUUAUUUCAGUUUUUGAUAUUUGAAAAUAUUUCUCACCUUCAUUCUUAAGUGAUACUAAUUAUUUUUAACUUUAAAUAAUUUCAAGAUUAUAAAAAAGUUACAAAAUCAGUACAGAGAGUUCCCAUAUACUCUUCAUCCAGUUUCCUCUAACAUAAACAUAUGAUACAGCCAUAAUACAGCCAUGAGAAUCAGGAAAUUAGCAUUGAUACUAUACUAUUAACUAAUUUACAGACCUUAUUCAAUUUCAUCAGUUGUCCUACUAAUAUUCUUUUUCUGGAUGAGGAUCCAAUCCAGGGUUUUACUUUCGUUGAAUUUAGUUGUCAUGUCUCUUUCAUCUUCUUUACUCUGGGACAAUUGCUUAGUCUUUAUCUUUCAUGAUCUUGACACUUUUGAAGACUUAUGACCAGUUAUUUUGUAGACUUUCCCUCAGUUUUGUUUUUCUUGAUGGUUUUUUUGUGAUUAAGUGAAGGUUAUACGUUUUUGGUGAGAACAUCAAGAAAUGACAGUGUGCCAUUCUCAGUACAUCACAUUGGGAGGCGUGAGCUUUUGUUAUAUCUCAUUACUGCUCAUAUUAACUCAGAUCACUUGGUUCAAGUGGUAUUUUUCAGGUUUCUCCAUUGUAAAGUUACUGGUUUUCCCUUUGUAAGUAAUAUGCAUUUUGCGGGAGAUACUUUGAGACUAUGUGUGUUUAUAAUUUAAUGCUGUAUAACAAACUACCCCCAAAGUUAGUGGCUUUAAAAUAAUAAUGACUUAGUAUCUCAUAGUUUCUUUGGGUCAGGAAUUUGGGAGCAGCUCAGUGGGAUGGUUUGGCUCGGGGUCACGCAAGUUGAGGUGCAGUCAAGAUGUCCAUGAGGGCUGCGGUCAUCUGAAGGUUUGACUGGGGCUGGAUAAUCUCCUGCCGAGACAUCUCCCUUCCAGACUGUUGGUGAGAGGUCUCAACUAUUCACUGAAUUCAGGCAGGAGCCUCAGUUCCUCACCAUGUGGACUUCUCCAUGGGGCUCCUACAGUAUUCUCAUGACAUAGCACCUAACUUCCGCCAAAUCACGUAAGGUGGAAGCUACAAAAUCUCUAUGACUUAUCUUGACACUGUCAUUCCUGCACUGUUUUAUUGGUCAGCCCUCAAUGUGGGAGGGGACUAUGCAGCAGCAUGAGUACCAGGACUCGGGGAUCAUUGGGGGCCAUCUCCACGGCUCUUGGUUCCUCUGGGCUCUUGGCACCACCUUCUCAGUCAUCCUUCCUUUACCGUGAAAGAUAGCUGAUGUUGGCUGCAGAAUUGUGUUCUCAAUCUGUGUGUCAGUCAGGGUCCAAUCAGAAGACAAAACCACACAGUAAUUUGUACAGAGAAAGUUUAGGAUAAAGAAUUAUGAACAAGGGUGCUGGGUAACUGGCUAAUAAGAGGACUCUAAAGAAUAGAGGAAUGGCUGAUAUAGGCAGCUCUCACCACACCUGGGACUGGGAGAGAGCCCCUCCCGGAGCUAAACUCCAGACCCCAUUGGAGAGGGUGUGGGCAUGACUCACUGGAUUACAGAGAAGUUUCCUGAGGUGCCUCCCCAGCUGAACUUGCUUGAAAUCCACUGUCUGCUGUGGGAAGCUGUCCAAAGGGAGGGAGGUACCCCGCCUCAGAAUCCUACAGGCUACCUCAAGACGUGCUACAGAAGCCCUGUGAGAGGAGGAGCCUGGCUGGCAGCUCUCUUGUGUGAAACUGCUUGAGGGAAGGUGAUUGAUGGGCACCCCAUUGUUGGCACGCCACUGUGAAGCCACCGAGGGGGUGUGUCCAGGGAAAUCCACUCAUGGCUGCCUCACCCGCUGGCACUCUGCCAUGAACCACCCUGGGCAGUGGGUGUGCCAUGGAAGCAUUUGUGGGAAACUCACUGCAAGCUGCUGGGGUACCUGGGAAGCCAUCCAAGGAGAAACGUCUAGCCAGCAGCACUCAUUAAUACCAAAUGAACCAAAUUAUCAAUAUGGGGUCAAGUGUUUAUUUAAUUUUAUAAAGAAGGAAGAUAAAGAUUCUUAGUUUCAACAUAACCACCUACUCAUUUGCCAAAUUCCCAAAGUCCUGGUUGCACUCUAGCGUAGACUUAAAGAUAGCCCCAGGGUAUUGAUGGGCACACUUCAAGUGUGCAAUUCAUCAGUUUUGAUGUCUGCUUGCACCUGUGUAACCACCACCACUGUCAGGAGAACAAUCGCGUCUCCUCCAAAACCCCAUUGCCAUUUGUGAUCCGUCAUCCCUUCCGUCUCAUUCCUAGGCAACCACUGAUCUGCCCGGAGUCUUUUUAAUUGGUUAAAACAAUCUGAAAAUUUAUAUAGAAGAAUCAGUGCCUGAAAGAAUAGCCAAGAAAGGCAUGAUGAAGAAGACGGACAAGAGGCUCUUGUUUUCUCAAAUGUCAGAACGUUCUAGAAAGUCAGUGCAAUCACAGUGGUAUGGUAUUGGUCUAAGAAUAGGCAAUUAAAUCAGAGGAAGAACGGACAAGCCAGGAAUCCAACCCACUAUCUGCAAAGGGAAUUUAAGUCAUGACAAAGGCGGCAGUUCUGUUUGGUGGCAAAGGUUUCUUGACAUGGCAGACACUGUGUGUUCUCAGUCUAAUGGGAGCUCACACACAUCAAUAAUUUAAUGUAAUAUGGGCACAAUUCAAGGUUUUGCAGGUUCAGUGGGUAACAGAGGGUGUAACACUUGCGAAGGAUUUUGAAUGAUAAGUGCGUUUGUUUGAGGAACAAGGAAGUCCCGUUUUGGCCUCCUGACCUCCAGAACUGUAAGGUGAUACACUGGUGUCGUGUUAAGCCACUAGAGUUGUGGUAGUUUGUUCCAGCAGCCACAGGAAACCAACUCAAGCAGCGAGUAGAUCAGAUUGGUGGAACAUCAAGUGUAAGAUGAAAGUGGAGGAGAUGAAGGCAGAGUGGGAGUCAGGGGCCGGAUCAUGGGGUCCUCGGAUGUCCCCUAAGGGGCGUGACGCCACAGGAGAUGGCAGUGACUCCUGUUUUAGGAUCCUCACGUUGGCGGGAGGGUGUUGAGGCAGAGAGGCAGUUUGGGAGCACACUCUUGCUUGUAUAUUGAUUCCGUUUCAUCUCGGUAACCUCGCUCUCUACAACAGUCUCUCAGGGGAGGUGUUGAUGGGUAUCACUGUCGUUGUACCUGAAGGAUCACAUCUUCUUUCUAUUUCAGGGUUUCUACCACGUUCCCCUUGACCUUCCCUUCUACAGCCUGGCCUGAUUCGGGGGUCACGAGGCAGGAGAACCAUGGGCAAGAGGGAGCUCGGACGAGUGACACGAGUGCUCGUUAUUCGGUGACCAGUGGAGCUCCAUGAGACACCCCCUCAGUUCCAGGAGUUGCUGUUUUGUGCAAGUAUUAGUCUCCAAGUUUAGUGGGCCUUGGACAAUUAAGAGGCUGCUAUUUUUAAGCCAAGUGGAAUUCUCACUGUGCUUGUGUGUUGUGGUGUCGGAGCUGGAUGGACACAGAGGCCCUCCCACCCCUCCUGACUCGCUCCAGGGACCCGCUGGUGACAGCUGUGUGCUGAGACAGUCGGGGGUGGUGCUGUCAUAGGUUCUGAAGCAGGUGGCAGGGGAAACCGAGUGGAUGCUGCCUGGGUCUGCAGAUCUUGUUUGAAUCCCUCUUUUGUGAGAAGAGAAGGGAAAAGAGUUUAUAAGAUAAUGAAACAGGAUUUUUGUCUUCCCAUCGGUGAUCUGUUAGAUGGUCAAGAAUGUGCAAGAACCCUCUCCUCCCAAUGCAUUUCAGUGUGUCUUUUGAGAAAAUGCAAGAAUUGAGGAUUUUUCUGUCAACCUAUGUGGCCAAAGGGUCAUUCUUGUCAAGAAUAGUUAGAACUGGGGGUGGAGGUGGAAGAGGUGGAGAAGCUGAAGGCAAAGGAGGGGGGCUGCCCUGGCCUGGGCUGUGAGUGGGGAUGCCCAACCAUGUGUAGAGUCCAGGGGUCUGUGCUGGGGCAGGAUGCUAUCAAGGGCAACCUAAGGGUCAGUUCCAUCUUCUUGAGUACUUGGGAGGAAUGUGGAAAAACAAAUUGGCAAAGUUGACACAAAGCUUUUCCGUGUCAGAUAUCCAAACCGCUCUGUAUUUCUGGAAGUCCAGGAAACCCAGGAACCAGGACUGAGAUGUGGGAGUUUGGGUCCCGAAAUCAGCAAGACGUCAAACAUUUGCAUGGAUGAUCAGACUCAGGGAGAAAGCCUCUUAGUGUCAGUGUUGUCUGUAAUUAAUCUUCAAGCAUCUCAUUGAAAAGACUGCAGAGAAGGGAGGAGCUGAAAUGUUUCUAUGGAAGAAGGAACGGUGAGUGGAAGGGUUACUGGGGAACUCACUAUGACAAACGUCCACACUGCUGUCCACACUGUCAAGGGCGUUGCGUUGGGUGUGCUAUGAAUAUGGAAGUGCAGGGGAGGGAGGCCUUCCCCUCGGGACCUCUGACCCGAGUCUCCUAUCGACCUGUAGCUCGUCACCUCCCCCUUGGGGCUCAGGGUGUUGGGGGGACCUACCAUUCUUCCUGAAGACUCGAACUCAUUGCCUUUGAUUCAACACAGAUCAGACUUGCAGCCAGUUCGCCUUUGGAGGGAAUGUUCUUAAGCUAUGGCUCCAGGGGUUUGGUGACCAGUGACAGGGCUGUUAGAAGGGAGACACAGUGAGGAAUUGAGUUCAUCGAGAUUGGCUUUUUAUUUGCUUCCUUACUCAAAAGGAUUAGCCGUUUAUGGUUUCAGGGUAAUAAUUCUGUUUAGUGCAGUAAACAAUUACUUAAUACCUAGUACUGUAUGUCCUCGAGUCUCAGACACUGUCAGUGGUAGUAAGAUGGACCAUUAGUUUAUAAUAGCUAUGUGGGAAGAAAUGCCAUGACUCAUAAAAAGAAGGAUUCUCCUUGCUUUGUCUGAUGACGUGUGUUGGGUAGACUCUGGUAGGGUACAAGUGGCAGAAAUGCCUGGGGUGUCCCUCAGGCAUGGGCGUUUCUUAUGCAGGUCCUAAGGGACAGAGGGCGAACAGGUGCCUCACAUGCCAGGUGUGGGAGCCACAGGACCCUGGGGAACUGAAGGCGGGCAGGGCCCAGGCAGCCCUGAGACUGUGUGCCCAGCUCACUGCCACAAGACUUCCCCACAGUGCCCCUGGGUCAGCUGCCCUGCCGCUCCCAGCCCUCUUUUCCUUCCCCAGGUGCCGCAGCGCCCUGACGCAGGCCCUUCACGUGGAUCUCGCCUGGCCCCUGUAGGCAGUGGAGUUGAUAUCUCUCACCCUUGUGGAGCCAAGCUCUUGUGCUGGCCACCUCAGAGGUCCCACUGGCUCAAAGACUGAGUCCCUGUGGCUAGAUGCCGCAGAGGCAGGUCACGGGAUCAACCUACCUCUGGGUGGGGCUUAGGGCCAGGUGCCUCUGAACAUUAGGCCCCCCUUUCCCACAGAGGAUUGUCUUCGCUCACGCUGCUAGAACAAAUUACCAGAGGCUGAGGGCCUUAACAGCACACUUAUUUCUCACGGUCAUGGGGGCUGAGAAGUCCACGAUCAAGGUGCCAGUGGAUUGGUGUCUGGUGAGAGCUUCCGGUUUGCAGACAGCCGUCUUCUCAUUAUGUCCUCACAUGGCAGAGAGGGAUGGAGAGAGAGGCCCUCUCUCUUGUUUCUCCUUAUAAGGGCACUAAUCUCAUUCAAGAGGGCUCCACCCUCUUGACCUGAGGACUUCCCAAAGCCCCCACCUCCUAAUACCAUCAUCUUUGAGAGUUAGGAUUUCAACGUAUGAAUUUUGAAGGGACAAAAUAUUUAGUUCAUGCCACACUGAUUGAGUGACGUGUGAGAUGGAAGAUUUAUUAAUGGAAGUUCUUGUUUUUCCCAAUCAUAAAAAUCAUACUCUUGGGGCUGGCCCUGUGGCCUAAUGGUUAAGUUUGGUGUGCUUUGCUUCAGCAGCCAGGGUUCGGUUCCUGGGCGUGGACCUACACCGCUCAUUGGCAGCCAGGCUGUGGUGGCGACGCAUGCAAAAAACAGAGGAAGAUUGGCAUAGAUGUUAGCUCAGGCUGAAUCUUCCUCAGCAAGAAAAAAAAUCAUAUUCUUAUUAAAAUAAAACCCCCCAAAUAAAGUGAAUAAAUG